rnacentral:lncRNA from 1 species
CCAUCCCGGCUUCGACGCUGGAGCCGGCUAAUUACCGGGCUUUCCUGAGGUUGCCUACUGAUGUGAAACCACACAGAGGUGCGAUGUCCGUGUUGUCUCCCUCAUCUUCUCUAGCCUGCAAGCAUGUAAAUGAGACUGCUGUACACUCCUUUGUCCAUCUGGAAAUAGAGGUUCAGAUCCAUUCGCUGCUUGCUGACACGUCUGUUCAGCCAUGUUGGUGUACUUCCUUCCUGGGAGAUGAAUCGGCACUAUGCUCCUCAAUAUUUCUGAAGUAG